GGUAACAUGAGGAAAGCUUGCUUUCCUUGAUGACGACUGGCGCACGGGUGAGUAACGCGUAUCCAACCUUCCCAUAACUACGGGAUAACCCGUUGAAAGACGGCCUGAUACCGUAUGAUAUCGUUUGCUGACAUCAAAUAACGAUUAAAGGUUUAGCGGUUAUGGAUGGGGAUGCGUCUGAUUAGCUUGUUGGCGGGGUAACGGCCCACCAAGGCUACGAUCAGUAGGGGUUCUGAGAGGAAGGUCCCCCACAUUGGAACUGAGACACGGUCCAAACUCCUACGGGAGGCAGCAGUGAGGAAUAUUGGUCAAUGGGCGAGAGCCUGAACCAGCCAAGUAGCGUGCAGGAUGACGGCCCUAUGGGUUGUAAACUGCUUUUAUGUGGGGAUAAAGUGCGUGACGUGUCAUGCAUUGCAGGUACCACAUGAAUAAGGACCGGCUAAUUCCGUGCCAGCAGCCGCGGUAAUACGGAAGGUCCGGGCGUUAUCCGGAUUUAUUGGGUUUAAAGGGAGCGUAGGCUGUCUAUUAAGCGUGUUGUGAAAUUUACCGGCUCAACCGGUGGCUUGCAGCGCGAACUGGUCGACUUGAGUAUGCAGGAAGUAGGCGGAAUUCAUGGUGUAGCGGUGAAAUGCUUAGAUAUCAUGACGAACUCCGAUUGCGCAGGCAGCUUACUGUAGCAUAACUGACGCUGAUGCUCGAAAGUGCGGGUAUCAAACAGGAUUAGAUACCCUGGUAGUCCGCACGGUAAACGAUGGAUGCUCGCUAUUCGUCCUAUUUGGAUGAGUGGCCAAGUGAAAACAUUAAGCAUCCCACCUGGGGAGUACGCCGGCAACGGUG
rnacentral:rRNA from 1 species